GAUGAACGCUAGCUACAGGCUUAAUACAUGCAAGUCGCGGGGCAGCAUGGGGGUUGCUUGCAAUCCCCGAUGGCGACCGGCGCACGGGUGAGUAACGCGUAUCCAACCUGCCCUUCACCACGGGAUAACCCGGCGAAAGUCGGACUAAUACCGUAUGUUGUCCAUUGACGGCAUCCGAUUUGGACGAAAGGUUUGGCGGUGAAGGAGGGGGAUGCGUCCGAUUAGCUGGACGGCGGGGUGACGGCCCACCGUGGCGACGAUCGGUAGGGGUUCUGAGAGGAAGGUCCCCCACACUGGAACUGAGACACGGUCCAGACUCCUACGGGAGGCAGCAGUGAGGAAUAUUGGUCAAUGGGCGUAAGCCUGAACCAGCCAAGUAGCGUGCAGGAUGACGGCCCUAUGGGUUGUAAACUGCUUUUAUGCGGGGAUAAAGUGGCCCACGUGUGGGUUUUUGCAGGUACCGCAUGAAUAAGGACCGGCUAAUUCCGUG
rnacentral:rRNA from 1 species